rnacentral:rRNA from 2 species
GUAACGGCUACUGCAGAUAGUAUGCAAGUCGAACGGCAGCGCGGGGCAACCUGGCGGCGAGUGGCGAACGGGUGAGUAAUACAUCGGAACGUACCCAGAAGUGGGGGAUAACGUAGCGAAAGUUACGCUAAUACCGCAUACGUUCUACGGAAGAAAGUGGGGGACCUUCGGGCCUCAUGCUUUUGGAGCGGCCGAUGUCUGAUUAGCUAGUUGGUGAGGUAAAGGCUCACCAAGGCGACGAUCAGUAGCUGGUCUGAGAGGACGACCAGCCACACUGGGACUGAGACACGGCCCAGACUCCUACGGGAGGCAGCAGUGGGGAAUUUUGGACAAUGGGCGCAAGCCUGAUCCAGCAAUGCCGCGUGAGUGAAGAAGGCCUUCGGGUUGUAAAGCUCUUUUGUCAGGGAAGAAACGGCUGAGGUUAAUACCUUUGGCUAAUGACGGUACCUGAAGAAUAAGCACCGGCUAACUACGUGCCAGCAGCCGCGGUAAUACGUAGGGUGCAAGCGUUAAUCGGAAUUACUGGGCGUAAAGCGUGCGCAGGCGGUUUUGUAAGUCUGACGUGAAAUCCCCGGGCUCAACCUGGGAAUUGCGUUGGAGACUGCAAGGCUGGAGUCUGGCAGAGGGGGGUAGAAUUCCACGUGUAGCAGUGAAAUGCGUAGAGAUGUGGAGGAACACCGAUGGCGAAGGCAGCCCCCUGGGUCAAGACUGACGCUCAUG